rnacentral:rRNA from 1 species
ACGAACGCUGGCGGCGUGCCUAAUACAUGCAAGUCGAACGCUUCUUUUUCCACCGGAGCUUGCUCCACCGGAAAAAGAGGAGUGGCGAACGGGUGAGUAACACGUGGGUAACCUGCCCAUCAGAAGGGGAUAACACUUGGAAACAGGUGCUAAUACCGUAUAACAAUCGAAACCGCAUGGUUUUGAUUUGAAAGGCGCUUUCGGGUGUCGCUGAUGGAUGGACCCGCGGUGCAUUAGCUAGUUGGUGAGGUAACGGCUCACCAAGGCGACGAUGCAUAGCCGACCUGAGAGGGUGAUCGGCCACAUUGGGACUGAGACACGGCCCAAACUCCUACGGGAGGCAGCAGUAGGGAAUCUUCGGCAAUGGACGAAAGUCUGACCGAGCAACGCCGCGUGAGUGAAGAAGGUUUUCGGAUCGUAAAACUCUGUUGUUAGAGAAGAACAAGGAUGAGAGUAACUGUUCAUCCCUUGACGGUAUCUAACCAGAAAGCCACGGCUAACUACGUGCCAGCAGCCGCGGUAAUACGUAGGUGGCAAGCGUUGUCCGGAUUUAUUGGGCGUAAAGCGAGCGCAGGCGGUUUCUUAAGUCUGAUGUGAAAGCCCCCGGCUCAACCGGGGAGGGUCAUUGGAAACUGGGAGACUUGAGUGCAGAAGAGGAGAGUGGAAUUCCAUGUGUAGCGGUGAAAUGCGUAGAUAUAUGGAGGAACACCAGUGGCGAAGGCGGCUCUCUGGUCUGUAACUGACGCUGAGGCUCGAAAGCGUGGGGAGCAAACAGGAUUAGAUACCCUGGUAGUCCACGCCGUAAACGAUGAGUGCUAAGUGUUGGAGGGUUUCCGCCCUUCAGUGCUGCAGCUAACGCAUUAAGCACUCCGCCUGGGGAGUACGACCGCAAGGUUGAAACUCAAAGGAAUUGACGGGGGCCCGCACAAGCGGUGGAGCAUGUGGUUUAAUUCGAAGCAACGCGAAGAACCUUACCAGGUCUUGACAUCCUUUGACCACUCUAGAGAUAGAGCUUCCCCUUCGGGGGCAAAGUGACAGGUGGUGCAUGGUUGUCGUCAGCUCGUGUCGUGAGAUGUUGGGUUAAGUCCCGCAACGAGCGCAACCCUUAUUGUUAGUUGCCAUCAUUUAGUUGGGCACUCUAGCAAGACUGCCGGUGACAAACCGGAGGAAGGUGGGGAUGACGUCAAAUCAUCAUGCCCCUUAUGACCUGGGCUACACACGUGCUACAAUGGGAAGUACAACGAGUCGCAAAGUCGCGAGGCUAAGCUAAUCUCUUAAAGCUUCUCUCAGUUCGGAUUGUAGGCUGCAACUCGCCUACAUGAAGCCGGAAUCGCUAGUAAUCGCGGAUCAGCAUGCCGCGGUGAAUACGUUCCCGGGCCUUGUACACACCGCCCGUCACACCAUGGGAGUGGGUUGCAAAAGAAGUAGGUAGCUUAACCUUCGGGAGGGCGCUUACCACUUUGUGAUUCAUGACUGGGGUG